AAUACGUAUGUGCUUUUAUAUAAUAUACAGAGUGUAUAAAAAAGUGCACUGGAAAUUCUGCAAAAUUUCUGACAACUUUAUUUUAGUAUAAGUAGUUUGGGAUCUUCUGGUAUCUCUAUCACAAAAUUAUUCUGAAAAGUAAAUUUUUGAGUGCAUUGGUGAAAAAAAGUGAAUUGGCUUGCAGAUAAAAAUGGAGGAUUUGAAACGAAAUUUGAACUCAUAGAGUGGAAAUUUGGAAGGUGUCUUACGAAAGUAUCAGACAAUUUGGUGUACAUUAAUUGAGUCCAAUGUACGAUCUCUGAAACUUACUCAUAAUUUAUCAUGUGCACAACUGAUUUUAUGCAUGAUUGAUUUUAUGCAUGAUCGAUUUCUCACAUAAUCUUUACAAACACAUCAAAUUAUCUGGUACUUUGGUAGUUCAUAAAACACCUUCAAAAAAUUUGCACCCUAUAUGAAUUGAAACUUCAUUUCAAACCCUCCAUUUUUACGUGCAUGCGAUUUUUAAACUGGUUUUGGAAAACAGCCCUCCGAACUUGAAACUUUACUUUUCAAAUUAAUUUUGUGAUAAAGAUUGCAAGAAGACCCCAAACUACUCAUACUGACAUAAAGUUGUCACAUAUCUUGCAGAAUUUUCAGUUUAGUGGAUAUUUCAGAACUGUGCACUUUUUUCGCCCAAACGCAAAAUGUCAUAAAUGAGAUGAACUAACAUGUAUUUCCAGGCAACCCUAAUACAUUUCUUUCCCUAAACGUGUGGUAGCCAAAUAUCAGAGAGAGGACCUUAGUAGGAGUUAUUUGAGAGGAGGGCCUAAUAGAUCAUUUACGCUACACUAAACGUUUUAUCUCACCCUAAUUGUGGAAAACCAGAAGAAAAAAUUUCUGUUAUAUUAAAACCUAGUUUACACUAUGCAAACCUGGCGACUGGCGUUAUUUGCCUUGAUUCUUCAGCUUGUGUUAACCAUACAGAAAUAUAAAACUAAUUUACUACUUCAUGGUAAACGUACAGGGCGUUUAAAAAAAACGCUAUGGAAAUUCAACAAGCUGUCGUGCAUCAUAAACGUGGCUAAACAAUUCAAUUUUUACAUAUAGGAUACGCUUUUUAAAUCGUAACGAUGAGAAAUGGCCACAUACUAGUCAAAUAAAAAUUGCCGGUCGAAAUCACAUUCUUCCACCGUUACUGCAUGGAAAACGAAACAUAGACAAUUCCCAAGAAGGAAUUAAAGUUGAAUGUUAAAUUAUCUAAAAUGAG